UAUCUCUGUAGAGUCUGCAUAUCAAUAAGCGGAGGAAAAGAAACUAACUAGGAUUCCCUUAGUAACGGCGAGUGAAGCGGGAAGAGCUCAAAUUUGAAAUCUUCAAGGUUUUACCUUGACGAAUUGUAGUUUAAAGAAGUGUUUUCUGUUGGUGUUUUGGUAAAAGUUCUUUGGAAUAGGACAUCAUAGAGGGUGAGAAUCCCGUAUUUGACCAUUACUUUCCAGCUUUGUGAUACACUUUCAAAGAGUCGGAUUGUUUGGGAAUGCAGUCCAAAAUGGGUGGUAAAUUUCAUCUAAAGCUAAAUAUUGGCGAGAGACCGAUAGCGAACAAGUACCGUGAGGGAAAGAUGAAAAGAACUUUGAAAAGAGAGUUAAACAGUACGUGAAAUUGUCAAAAGGGAAGCGUUUGACACCAGUGUUGUUUUCUCGAAAAUCAAUUAGAAAAGGCAGGAUUUUGUGUUGUAUUGACUUUAUCAGCUUUCUGCACUCUUCUCUUGUCUUUUUUUAAUGCACUUUUCGUUUAACAAGUCAACAUCAAUUUCUUUUGUUGUAAAAGGGUCAUUGGAAGGUGGCUUUCUUUUCGGAGAAAGUGUUUAUAGCCUUUGGCCUCUGCAAUCGGAGAGAUUGAGGUCUGCAGCGUAGAUCCUUCGGGGUUAGAUACAUUUGUGCUAAGUUAUAGCCUUUCAUAGGCAACUUGUUGACUAUGAUCAGUCAUGUAGCUUACUCGCUUAUGCUAUUUUACCUACGCUUAGGAUGUUGAAGAUGUAGCACAUCAU
rnacentral:rRNA from 1 species